rnacentral:rRNA from 1 species
GACGAACGCUGGCGGCGUGCUUAACACAUGCAAGUCGAACGGUGAAGCGCCUUCCUUUUUGGUGGGUGUGGAUGAGUGGCGAACUGGUGAGUAACACGUGAGUAACCUGCCCCCUUCUUCUGGAUAACCGCAUGAAAGUGUGGCUAAUACGGGAUAUUCUGGGUCUGUCGCAUGAUGGGUCUGGGAAAGAUCUUGUUUCGGUUGGGGAUGGGCUCGCGGCCUAUCAGCUUGUUGGUGGGGUGAUGGCCUACCAAGGCGGUGACGGGUAGCCGGCCUGAGAGGGUGGACGGUCACACGGGGACUGAGACACGGCGCAGACUCCUACGGGAGGCAGCAGUGGGGAAUAUUGCACAAUGGGCGCAAGCCUGAUGCAGCGACGCCGCGUGAGGGAUGGAGGCCUUCGGGUUGUGAACCUCUUUCGCCAGUGAAGCAGGCCUGCCUCGUUUGUGGGUGGGUUGACGGUAGCUGGAUAAGAAGCGCCGGCUAACUACGUG